rnacentral:rRNA from 1 species
GAUGAACGCUGGCGGCGUGCCUAAUAUAUGCAAGUCGAACGAAGAUCUAGCUUGCUAGAUCUUAGUGGCGAACGGGUGAGUAAUACAUAAAUAAUCUGGCCAUAUGACUGGGAUAAAUAAUGGAAACCAUAGCUAAUACCGGAUAGGUUGCUCGGAGGCAUCUCUGACGAAUUACAGUAGGACGUCUACAAAAAGGGACGAGUUUAUGGCGCAUUAGUUAGUUGGUGGGGUAACGGCCUCACAAGACGAUGAUGCGUAUCCGACCUGAGAGGGUGACCGGCCAGACUGGGACUGAGACACGGCCCAGACUCUUACGGGAGGCAGCAGUAGGGAAUUAUCGGCAAUGGGCGCAAGCCUGACCGAGCAACGCCGCGUGACUGAUUAAGGCCUUCGGGUUGUAAAGCUCUGUUGUAAGGGAAGAACAUUCAGGAUAGGAAAUAAUCUUGAACUGACGGUACCUUACCAGAAAGCCACGGCUAACAACGUGCCAGCAGCAGCCGCGG